GAUGAACGCUAGCUACAGGCUUAACACAUGCAAGUCGAGGGGAAACGACAUCGAAAGCUUGCUUUUGAUGGGCGUCGACCGGCGCACGGGUGAGUAACGCGUAUCCAACCUGCCCACCACUUGGGGAUAACCUUGCGAAAGUAAGACUAAUACCCAAUGACGUCUCUAGAAGACAUCUGAAAGGGAUUAAAGAUUUAUCGGUGAUGGAUGGGGAUGCGUCUGAUUAGCUUGUUGGCGGGGUAACGGCCCACCAAGGCGACGAUCAGUAGGGGUUCUGAGAGGAAGGUCCCCCACAUUGGAACUGAGACACGGUCCAAACUCCUACGGGAGGCAGCAGUGAGGAAUAUUGGUCAAUGGGCGAGAGCCUGAACCAGCCAAGUAGCGUGCAGGAUGACGGCCCUAUGGGUUGUAAACUGCUUUUAUAAGGGAAUAAAGUGAGAGUCGUGACUCUUUUUGCAUGUACCUUAUGAAUAAGGACCGGCUAAUUCCGUGCCAGCAGCCGCGGUAAUACGGAAGGUCCGGGCGUUAUCCGGAUUUAUUGGGUUUGAAGGGAGCGUAGGCCGGAGAUUAAGCGUGUUGUGAAAUGUAGACGCUCAACGUCUGCACUGCAGCGCGAACUGGUUUCCUUGAGUACGCACAAAGUGGGCGGAAUUCGUGGUGUAGCGGUGAAAUGCUUAGAUAUCACGAAGAACUCCGAUAACGAAGGCAGCUCACUGGAGCGCAACUGACGCUGAAGCUUAAAAGGGCGGGUAUCGAACAGG
rnacentral:rRNA from 1 species